CUUUAAAAAUUAUUGAAAGGUGAAAAUUGCACUUCGAACUUCAGGACACCUUCUUUUGGGAGUUGUACGAAUCUAUGAUAGGAAGGCAAAAUAUCUUUUGGCAGAUUGCAGUGAAGCAUUGCUUAAAAUGAAGAUGACAUUUCGCCCAGGACUGGUUGACCUUCCAAAAGAGAAUUUUGAAGCUGCUUACAGUGCUAUCACAUUGCCAGAAGAAUUUCAUGAUUUUGACACCCAGAAUGUGAAUGCUAUUAACGUUUCAGAACACUUUACUCAGAACCGAAGCAGACCAGAGGAAAUCACACUUAGAGAAGAUUAUGGUAAUGAUCUACUUUUCCAAGCUGGAAGCUUUGGGGAGGAAUCAGAAAUUCUCAGAAGACAUAGCCUCUUUGAUGACAACAUAUUGCUGAAUUCCAGUGGUCCUUUAGUUGAACAUAGUUCUGGAAGCCUUGCCGGAGAAAAAUCUCUGUUCUGUGACAGUGGAGAUGGAUUUGGAGAUGAAGGGGCUGCAGGAGAGAUGAUUGACAAUCUACUGCAAGAUGAUCAAAAUAUCCUGUUAGAAGAUGUGCAUUUGAGCAGAGAAAUUUCUCUGCCUCCUGAGCCUCCUGAUACUAUAUGGAACCAGAUAAUCCAGAGUAUAUAUGUCUACCUGAAAAUGGAAAAAUGGAUGAAACAUUAUCAGAUGAAGAACAAGGAUUUACCCUUGACCCAAUUGAUGCUGCAGACAUUGCUGAGAAGAGAAAAGGCAAAAAGAGGAAAUUGCUCAUAGAUCCAAUCAAGGAGAUCAGUAGCAAAAUUAUGCAUAAACAACUUACUUCCUUUACGGACACACUUAUGGUUUUGGAACUUGCACCUCCUACCCAAAGAUUGAUGAUGUGGAAGAAGAAGGGAGGAGUGGACACACUUCUGUCAACUGCUGCCCAGGAUUUGACUCAUGCUGAACUGAAAAUGUUGUUUACAAAAUGCUUUCUGUCCUCUGGCUUUAAACUUGGAAGAAAAUUGGUACAGAAGGAAUCAGUAAGGGAAGAAGUGGAAAGCAAAAACAUAACAGAGACCUCCGUGAUGGAAGAACUAAAUUCCCAGCAAGACUUAAAUCAAUCCAAAACUUGGAAAGAUGUGAUCGAUGGAUCUAAGUAUAGCUCUCAUGAGGAUAUCAAUAAAAAUAUUAAUUCUGAGGAUAUUGUUGAAAUGGUAUCUUCAGCUACUGAGGAAUCCUCUUUAAUGAAUGCGAUCUUAGCACAAGAAAUUGAGAAUUGUACAGUGGAGUUGG